AUCUGAGUGUAAUUAUAUAGUAAUUUAUGAAGCACUGAUACUGUAGAUCUGUUAAAACAGUGUUGCUUUCAGCCUGAAAUACUUGUUCACCUUCUUGUUUGUUCCAGUUCAUUCUUGGUUUGUAGAUUGCAGCGCUCUGCUGAUUCCAGACUUUUCCAUGUUUGUGAUCGGUCAGAUGCUGUAAACACUUCCCGUUUUAAGUGAACAGGCUCAUAAUCAGAUUUGGAAACCCAUGUUUGAUUUACAAAGUCAAUAACCAGCUUCACAGGGCUGCUUGGCGAGAUUGAGUAUGUUAAGGUUGAGUCAGAAAAGCAAAAGAAGCCCCAUUGUAUGUUGAACUUCUUCUAGUCACAUGCUCCUCUUAAGCUUAGUUUAAACGCCAUACUAACAAGUGUGUCAAUUUCCAGCUCUCUGUUUGAUCAUCGCCUGCUUGGGUUUACCUGGCAUUGAAGCAACCCCUGUUCCUGGAUACACCAACAAUGCAUUCUCCUGCGUUGGAAAACCCGAUGGGCUGUACCCCAACCCUAGUGACCAACAUUCUUUCUUCUACUGUGUAGCUGGAAAUGUAUACCUCCAACAAUGCGCAGCAAAUUUGAUCUUUGACCCAUCCAUUAAUGUUUGUGUCUAUCCCAAAUUUGCAUUCUCCUGCGUUGGAAAACGCGAUGGGCAAUACCCCAACCCUAGUGACCAACAUUCUUUCUUCUACUGUGUAGCUGGAAAAGCAUUUCUUAGACAAUGCCCAGCAAAUUUGGUCUAUAACUCAGCCAUUCAGGUGUGUGCCUAUCCCGAUAGUCCAGUCAACAAUGCAAACGACUGCAUUGGAAAACCAGAUGGGCAGUACACCAACCCUCAAGACAAACAUUCUUUUCUCAGCUGUGUAGCUGGACUAACCUACGUCAUGCAAUGCCCAGCAAAUUUGGUCUAUGUACAAGCCAAGAAUAAAUGUUUGUAUUAACCAAAGUUCUACUACAGAUGAUGGAGGCCAAUGUAGUAGAAGAAGAAAUGGGCAAUACCCCAACCCUGAUAUAAUCAAAUUCUGUUAAAUGUUCAAUUUACUCUGUUUCUUCAAUGUUUUUGGAUGUGAGAAAUGUAAUAGUGGUUAAAUAUCACAUUAUUUUCUUAACUUCAUUGUUGUGUGUAUAAUCACAUUGGGUGCUUUCUCUUUCGUUUAUGUUUAGCCAUUGGUGAAUGGAUUGGUCUUACAUUAUGACACAAACGUGGCAUAUUGUAAUUAUAUUCAUGUGAUCUUACUCUGAAUUUAAUUCAAUCAUCAUUAUGAAACAAUGAAGCAAUAAAAUACAGCAAAUAUACCUGGCAAGUUUUUCUUUGCAUUAUUUUUAGUUGUUCUGUAUUGUAUGUAUGUUCUGUACCUAUCUGCCAUUUGUCCAAUAAACACUGAGUAUAGCGCAAACGCA